GAUGAACGCUAGCUACAGGCUUAACACAUGCAAGUCGAGGGGUAACAAGAGGAAAGCUUGCUUUUCUUGUUGACGACCGGCGCACGGGUGAGUAACGCGUAUCCAACCUGCCUAUAACUAGGGAAUAACCUUGCGAAAGUAAGACUAAUGCCCUAUGACUUCCUUUGAUGACAUCAGAUUAGGAAUAAAGAUUUAUCGGUUAUAGAUGGGGAUGCGUCUGAUUAGCUUGUUGGCGGGGUAGCGGCCCACCAAGGCAACGAUCAGUAGGGGUUCUGAGAGGAAGGUCCCCCACAUUGGAACUGAGACACGGUCCAAACUCCUACGGGAGGCAGCAGUGAGGAAUAUUGGUCAAUGGGCGGAAGCCUGAACCAGCCAAGUAGCGUGCAGGAUGACGGCCCUAUGGGUUGUAAACUGCUUUUAUACAGGGAUAAAGUUAGCCACGUGUGGUUAUUUGCAGGUACUGUAUGAAUAAGGACCGGCUAAUUCCGUGCCAGCCGCCGCCGUAA
rnacentral:rRNA from 1 species